UCUUUUAAUAGUAAUAUAUUAUAUUUAUUUUGGUUAUUUUUUAUUUAAUUACUAUCGCACCCGCUGGUUUACCAGUCAUAAAACUCCCGCAAACGCACUCAUUACCAAACGCUCAACCAGUCGUUCAAAACACUUGAUAACGUUUGAAACCGCAACCGCCCGUUUCCGCAAAUUCCCGCAACCGCAAUCGUACCCGCUGCGUUUAAACCAGGCCCAUAGUCAACAUAAGUUACGGAACCACAACUAUUUGCGACUCGAAGAUGUGUAUCGUCAUCUCAUAACAUGAUU
rnacentral:sRNA from 1 species